GAGGCGCCGCCGCUGCAGUCGCCGCAUCUACGAGCAUGGCUGACAGCAGGCCCAAGCCCCCCAAGCCCGCCAACAAGACGCCCCCCAAGUCCCCAGGGGACCCCGCGAAGGACAAGGCAGCCAAGAGGCUGUCCCUGGAGUCGGAGGGUGCCAGCGAGGGGGCGGCCGCCGCGGGCCCGGAGCUCAGCGCCCUGGAGGAGGCCUUCCGGAGGUUUGCGGUGCACGGGGACACCAGGGCCACCGGGAAGGAGAUGCAUGGCAAGAACUGGUCCAAGCUGUGCAGGGACUGCCAGGUGAUCGACGGCAGGAACGUGACCGUCACCGACGUGGACAUCGUCUUCAGCAAGAUCAAGGGCAAGUCCUGCAGGACCAUCUCAUUCGAGCAGUUCAAGGAAGCACUGGAGGAGCUGGCCAAGAAGAGAUUCAAAGACAAGAGCGGUGAGGAGGCCGUCCGAGAGGUGCACAGGCUCAUCGAGGGCAAGGCCCCCAUCAUCUCGGGGGUGACGAGGCAAGAGUCACCUGGGGAGUCGCGUCUGCAGACAACUCGGAACGUGCAGAGUGUUUCUGGGCACUAAGCUGAUCACAGAUGUCAAAGCCCGUGUUCCAGGGCCGGCCGGUUCCUCUCCGUGGACUCGGGACAGGCCUCCACCCCAGACCCAUCCUCUGCCCAGCCGCUGCGGGUCUCCGCCUGCCCGACAACCCGGCGCCGCGCACAGCCGUCCCGCGGCAGGACACGGGUCCAGCCCUCGCAGCCGGUGAUAAAGCAGGAGAAACGCAGAAGAAUGGGUAACAGCUGAGCCGCCAGGAUGAGGAACGACCACGAGAACGAGUGGCGCCGGGCAGCAGCACGGAGGCCGUCAGCAGUCCACGGUGGGUACCACCCCCGAGGCACGCAGGAGGAUGCAGGAGCGGACGCCUCUGGACGACCGCCAAGCUGGCCCAGGAUCUCGGUCAGUGGCCUGCUGGAGGCAUCCCCGGGCCCUGCUGGGGUCACCUGGUCACUGCCCGGGGCUGCCUGGACGAGGGUCCUGAGCUCAGGAGCUGGGACAGCCUGACGCCACAGCAGCUGCAUCCCGUCCCCUGAACAGCAAGGCCUUGUGUGAAGGGACACGCCUGCCCCUGCAUCUCUGCCACAGGGACACAACUGCAGAUGCUGAAACUAUUAAAAUGUCAUGAAAAGAUUGUGUCGUGCCAAAAAACCUGCAAAUUAGGCCAUAAGAACAAAUUCCUAGAGAUAACGUAACUUGUGAAAACUAACUCCAGAAGAACUGGGAAGCCCGCAUAGUCCUGGCCAGGUGAGUACUGACGGCGAUGGAGAAGCCCAAAGUCCAGGGGCUGGGCGAUGAGGCGUGCAUCUCACACGGAGCCCAGCUAGGGCCCGGGGGAGAGGGGUGCCACUCGGGUGGCCACCAGCUCUUCUCUGCUGGGCCCUGAAGACACGCCUCCUUCACUUGCAGAGUUGGUCACAUGGCCCCAAACCAGCUACAGGGGAGGCACACGGACGGCCCCUAAGAACCCGCUCUGCUGUAUCGCUGAACCAUAAUUCAACUGAAUCAAGUCAAAAAUCUCCCCACGGGGCUUCCCUGGUGGCACAGUGGUUGCGAGUCCGCCUGCCGAUGCAGGGGACGUGGGUUCGUGCCCCGGUCCGGGAAGAUCCCACGUGCCACGGAGCGGCUGGGCCCGUGAGCCGUGGCCGCUGAGCCUGCGCGUCCGGAGCCUGUGCUCCGCAACGGGAGAGGCCACAGCGGUGAGAGGCCCGCAUACCGAAAAAAAAAAAAAAAAAAAAAUCUCCCCACAAGAUGUGACCUGGUACAGCCACUAUGGAGAAUAGUAUGGAGGUUCCUUAAAAAACUAAAAAUAGAACUACCUACCAUAUGACCCAGCAAUCCCACUACUGGACAUAUACCCUAAGAAAACCGUACUUCAAAAAGAGUCAUGUACCACAAUGUUCAAUGCAGCACUAUAUACAAUAGCCAGGACAUGGAAGCAGCCUAAAUGUCCAUCAACAGAAAUGGAUAAAGAAGGUGUGGUACAUACACACAAUGGAAUACUCAGCCAUAAAAAGAGAUUGAAAUAAUGCCAUUUGCAGCAACAUGGACAGACGUAGAGAUUGUCAUACUAAGUGAAGUAAGUCAGAGAAAGACAAGUACGAUAUCACUUAUAUGUGGAAUUUUAAAAAAUGAUACAAGUGAACUUUUUUGCAAAACAGAAACAGACUCACAGACACUGAAAACAAACUUAUGGUUACCAAAGGGGAAUGGUAGCGGGGAGGGAUAAAUUUGGAGUUUGGAAUUAACAGAUAAACAUUACCCAUAUAUAAAAUAAACAACAAGGUCCUACUGUGUGUGUAUGUGUAUAUAUAUAUAUAUACACACACACCCCUCACGCUGUGCCGGCCGUGCGUGGGACCUGUCCGGGACUGCCCUCACAAGUCACUCAACCCUCACGAUGGCCUGCGAGGCAGGCACUGCAAACCAGGACAUUGAGGCCCAGAGACUCCAACUGCCCAGGGGGACAUUAAGUGGCACACCUGGAACACAAAAUCCUACACAAAACAUCCACAAACCACAUACAACAACAUGUAUGGAAGGAAAGCCCAUCAUCACUAAGUUGUGCUUAUUCCAGAAAUUUACUGUAGUUAACCACACUAAUAGAACAAGGGAGAAAAAUCACAUGGUCAUCUCUGUAGUGGCAGAAAAGUGUCUUAUUCAUCCAUUCAUGAUGACAAAUUCUUAGCAAAUUAACAACAGAAGGAGCAAGGCCACCUACCAAAAAACCGAAUUUAGUGGUGCAAAUUUAGUGGUGAAGUGGUAAAAGCUCCCCUUUGAUUUAAUACCCAGAACAAGACAGAUGCCCACUCUACUACCACGUAUAAUCCACAAUUAUAUUAGACGUGCCAGCCAGCACAGAAGAGCAAAACUCAAAACAAAACCGAAAAGAAAACAUAAAGUAAAAACCCAGAGUAAAGGAAUGGAACGGAGAAAAGAAAAGCCAUUAUUCACAGAAGGUAUGACUGUGCUAGAAAGUCUAGCACAGCUACAGGCAAAUUAUUACGAGUUUAACAAGAUCGCUGGG